rnacentral:piRNA from 1 species
UACCAUAUAUUUUUCUACACCUAUUAGCACA